UGAAAAACAUUGUUUAGGUGAUGCUCCAGAGAUGAAGUGUUCUCCAGGCUUCGUGACUGUGGUACUCAUAAUGCUUGGACAAACACAUGGAGAUUCAGUGACUCAGACAGAGGGCCAAGUGACCCUCUCAGAAGAGGCUUCCCUGACUAUAAACUGUACCUAUUCAGCAACUGGUUAUCCAGCUCUUUACUGGUAUGUCCAGUCUCCAGGAGAAGGUCUAGAGCUCCUCCUGAAAGCCUCAAGGGACAAGGAGAAGGGAAGCAACAAAGGAUUUGAAGCCACCUACAACAAAGAUUCCAAUUCCUUCCACUUGGAGAAAGGCUCAGUGCAAGCCUCAGAUUCAGCUGUGUACUACUGUGUCAUUGAAUGUCCACAAGUUGUUCAUGGCACCCUGGUGGGUGUUGCUGUGUCUAUGACACUUUUAGAGACACACAGUGUGCCUGAGAAGGUGGCAUCUGCCCAGUGUCUUCUUGACAGAGUAUGGCAGGAGAGGUGA